GACGAACGCUGGCGGCGUGCCUAACACAUGCAAGUCGAGCGGAGUCGAUCGACGGAAGCCUUCGGGCGGAAGAUGGUUGACUUAGCGGCGGAUGGGUGAGUAACGCGUGGGCAACCUGCCUCGAAGACCGGGAUAACAGCCCGAAAGGGCUGCUAAUACCGGAUGUGGUCAAGGAUCCGCAUGGAUUUUUGAUUAAAGGGGAAACCCGUUUCGAGAUGGGCCCGCGUCCUAUCAGCUAGUUGGUGAGGUAAAAGCUCACCAAGGCGACGACGGGUAGCCGGCCUGAGAGGGUGACCGGCCACACUGGAACUGAGACACGGUCCAGACUCCUACGGGGGCAGCAGUGGGGAAUCUUCCACAAUGGGCGAAAGCCUGAUGGAGCGACGCCGCGUGAGCGAAGAAGGCCUUCGGGUUGUAAAGCUCUGUCUUGGAGGGACGAAGGAAGUGACGGUACCUCCGGAGGAAGCCACGGCUAACUACGUG
rnacentral:rRNA from 1 species